GGAAAAACGGGCUAAAUUGUUAUUUUUUUACAAUUAAUUUUCCUUAUUCCAUGUGCUGCAGGGAAUAUUUCAUAGACGCUUAUUUCAUUCAAAUGUCAACAGCAACCGGUACCCAAGGACGCCAAGACCAUCAUUAUGAAUCAAGAGUCUGAAAUAUACAACAUCCUGCAACGUAUGCCUGCUAGGGAUAGUGGCAAUGUUUCUAUGUAGAGAUGUGGCAUUGUCGGUUUGGUGGCAGAGAUUAAAAACGAAUUAAGAGAAGCCAAAGUUGCUUUGGUUACUGCCCGUCGAGAGCUCCUUCGCCAACUCAUUCAAAUGGAAACUGAAAUGUAUCAAAGAGAAUUACUUGCCAUGGGAUUGGCUAUAUGACACUCAAAUUGACCAUCAAAUAUAACCAAUUGAUAGCAAACGAAAUAAUAACCUAUUAACUCCAAAUGGGUAGAAAAAUACUACAAGCAUAGAGUUGUCCUAAAAAAGUUAUAGUAAUAUA